GGCUGAGUAGCCCAACGGCAGAGGCAUUGCGCUCAGAACGCAACCAGUGGAGGUUCGAAUCCUCUCUCAGCUACCA
rnacentral:tRNA from 1 species